CACUGACACAUCAUUAUAACCCAGAGUCCAUAGUUUAUAUUAGGGUUCACUCUUGGUGUUGCACAUUCUAUGAGUUGGAAAAAUUUAUAAUAACACAUAUCUACCAUUUUAGUAUCAUACAGAGUAGUUUCAAUGCCCUAAAAAUUCUGUAUGCUCCACCUAUUCAUCCCUCCCUCCUCUUCUAUAUUUGUUUUUACAGUGUAAAAAUAUUCAUUAUUAAUCUUCUCCUCUUGCUAUUAAAAUGCCCAUAAGUAGAAGUUAGAUUAAAAAUCCUAAAUAAAUGUGUCUUUUACAUGAAGAGUCAUCACAAAUAAAUCCACUGAUACUAUGGAUAAGUUUUUUAAAUAUACAUAUUCUAAAUUAUGAUGAUGAAUCCAGUUUAUACUCUUCCAUUUACAUUAGUGGCACUAAGAUACCCUAAUAUGUUAUCUUCAUUAUCCACAUCAUCAAGAAAGAUUAAUUUGUAGUCAAUACACACUACUUACUAAACUAGUAAGAUAGACUAAAGCCCUCUGAGAACAACCAUCUUAAAAGAAGCAGAAAAUUCAGCUUAACACAAUUUCCUUCUGGUUAAUUGAAUUUUUACUUUAUACUACCCAUACCUUGUUCCUCACAUUUUAUAACACUCGUUCAUUAUAUAUACUUAUUCUAUCAACAAAUAUUUAAUAGCUGUCUAUUAUGUGUCAGACUCUAGUAAUAUGCUGGUGAAAAAUACAGAUAAGAUUCCUUACCCUUAUGAAGCUUACAUUUUAGUGAGGCGUUAUAGACAAGAAUCAUAAUAUAACGUAUGGCAGUAUGAUAGAGUGCCUGGGAUGGGGUGGAUAUGGAGAUGGGAGUGGUUACUUAAGGUAUGGCAGACAAUAAAAUCUUUUUUGAAGAUAUGAUAUUUGAAAAGAGCCCUGACAAAGAGAUUACCAUACAAACACCUUAAGAAAGAAGUUUUAGGGGCCAGCCCACUGGCGUAGCAGUUAAGUUUGUGUGCUCCACUUUGGCAGCCUGGGGUUCGUGGGUUUGGAUCCUGGGCAUGGACCUACACACCACUCAUAAGCCAAGCUGUGGCGGCGUCCCAUAUACAAAAUAGAGGAAGAGUGGCACAGAUGUUAGCUCAGAGCCAAUCUUCCUCACCAAAAAGAAAAGAAGUUUUAGGAGAAAAGCAGGUGCAAAGAUAGUUGAGGCAGGAACCAGCUUGAAGGAUCAGCUAGGAGGUCAGUUUGCUGGGGUGUCGAGAACAAGCAAAAGAAUGGUAUAAAAUGAGGCAGAAGAUGGCAAGGACAAGAUCAUGUAGGAGGCCAUGAUAAGCAGUUUGGAUUUUAUUUUGAUUGUCAUUGAGAACUACUGGAGAAUUUUAGGUGACAGUAUAAUAUUUUUUGAUUUAUGUUUUCAAAGAUCACUGAUUACUGUAUGGUGAAUAGACUGUGAGGGGGCAAGAAUGAGAGACGAAAGAGCAAUGAAAAAGCUGAGGCAGUAGUCCGUGCAAGAGGCUUGCUCCAGGUGGCUUAAACUAGGGUUGUAGUAAUGAAGAAGAUGAGUCAAUGUAGAUAGCAUGUUUUGUAUGGGGAGCUGACAGGACUUGCUAAUAAAUUGACUUGCGUGUUUUUUUUAAGAGGAAAGAGCAGAAUCUAGGAUAAUGCCUAUGGUGGUGCCCUUUACUACAAUGGAGAAGAAAGGGGAGAAAUUGGAGGCAUAGGGGAAUGCAGGUUCCCCUGAGGCAUUACCUCCAGUAUUACAUGUGCAGAAACAAAAGGUUGAUAACAACCUCAAAUGCAUACAAAAAACACUAAAGCUUUGGCCUGAUCAUAACAUUUUAAAAGGAUACAAAGAUCCUCAUUCUAUUCAGGAAAUCAAUAAUGCGAGCAGAGCUUCAGAAAAUCUACAGAUUUCAUCUGAUUAACGUCCAAUGCUGAUAAAAUUGUGGGCAAUCCCUAACUCUCACAGAAUACUGGUAGCAGGAUAAGCUGGUACAACUCUUUUAUAAAGACACACUUUAAGAGACAUAAAAUUUUUCAUUGUAUUUACCUGAAGAACUCUGUAAAUUCACAAUAGAAACAAAAAGAAAAUUGAUUUGCACAAAAAUGUUAUUAUUUUCUUUAUAAUGGAGAUUAAAAUGGAAAACAUUCUAAAUGAUGAAUUAUAGUUUGGGAAUCUCAAUGGACUAUUAUAGAGCAAUUAAAGUUAUUAUAAUGAUUACAGCAAUAAAAACACAUGCUGUUUUUAAAAAACUAUACUUAAGCUGGGAUUACAAUUAUGUAAAAAGUGUGUACUUACAUAAAUACUAAAAUGCAACUUGAGUUUGUAUUUUUGAAUGACUUCUGAUACUGAAAUAAACGUUUUAUAAAAAGUGACUUCAAUCAGAUAAAUACACUGUAGAAGAAGACAUCCGAUUAUAAAUUAAGAUUUCGAUAACAUUUUCAAAAUGUC